rnacentral:rRNA from 2 species
UCAGACGAACGCUGGCGGCGUGCCUAAUACAUGCAAGUCGAACGAACUCUGGUAUUGAUUGGUGCUUGCAUCAUGAUUUACAUUUGAGUGAGUGGCGAACUGGUGAGUAACACGUGGGAAACCUGCCCAGAAGCGGGGGAUAACACCUGGAAACAGAUGCUAAUACCGCAUAACAACUUGGACCGCAUGGUCCGAGCUUGAAAGAUGGCUUCGGCUAUCACUUUUGGAUGGUCCCGCGGCGUAUUAGCUAGAUGGUGGGGUAACGGCUCACCAUGGCAAUGAUACGUAGCCGACCUGAGAGGGUAAUCGGCCACAUUGGGACUGAGACACGGCCCAAACUCCUACGGGAGGCAGCAGUAGGGAAUCUUCCACAAUGGACGAAAGUCUGAUGGAGCAACGCCGCGUGAGUGAAGAAGGGUUUCGGCUCGUAAAACUCUGUUGUUAAAGAAGAACAUAUCUGAGAGUAACUGUUCAGGUAUUGACGGUAUUUAACCAGAAAGCCACGGCUAACUACGUGCCAGCAGCCGCGGUAAUACGUAGGUGGCAAGCGUUGUCCGGAUUUAUUGGGCGUAAAGCGAGCGCAGGCGGUUUUUUAAGUCUGAUGUGAAAGCCUUCGGCUCAACCGAAGAAGUGCAUCGGAAACUGGGAAACUUGAGUGCAGAAGAGGACAGUGGAACUCCAUGUGUAGCGGUGAAAUGCGUAGAUAUAUGGAAGAACACCAGUGGCGAAGGCGGCUGUCUGGUCUGUAACUGACGCUGAGGCUCGAAAGUAUGGGUAGCAAACAGGAUUAGAUACCCUGGUAGUCCAUACCGUAAACGAUGAAUGCUAAGUGUUGGAGGGUUUCCGCCCUUCAGUGCUGCAGCUAACGCAUUAAGCAUUCCGCCUGGGGAGUACGGCCGCAAGGCUGAAACUCAAAGGAAUUGACGGGGGCCCGCACAAGCGGUGGAGCAUGUGGUUUAAUUCGAAGCUACGCGAAGAACCUUACCAGGUCUUGACAUACUAUGCAAAUCUAAGAGAUUAGACGUUCCCUUCGGGGACAUGGAUACAGGUGGUGCAUGGUUGUCGUCAGCUCGUGUCGUGAGAUGUUGGGUUAAGUCCCGCAACGAGCGCAACCCUUAUUAUCAGUUGCCAGCAUUAAGUUGGGCACUCUGGUGAGACUGCCGGUGACAAACCGGAGGAAGGUGGGGAUGACGUCAAAUCAUCAUGCCCCUUAUGACCUGGGCUACACACGUGCUACAAUGGAUGGUACAACGAGUUGCGAACUCGCGAGAGUAAGCUAAUCUCUUAAAGCCAUUCUCAGUUCGGAUUGUAGGCUGCAACUCGCCUACAUGAAGUCGGAAUCGCUAGUAAUCGCGGAUCAGCAUGCCGCGGUGAAUACGUUCCCGGGCCUUGUACACACCGCCCGUCACACCAUGAGAGUUUGUAACACCCAAAGUCGGUGGGGUAACCUUUUAGGAACCAGCCGCCUAAGGUGGGACAGAUGAUUAGGGUGA